rnacentral:rRNA from 1 species
UGCAAGUCGAACGCUUCUUUUUCCACCGGAGCUUGCUCCACCGGAAAAAGAGGAGUGGCGAACGGGUGAGUAACACGUGGGUAACCUGCCCAUCAGAAGGGGAUAACACUUGGAAACAGGUGCUAAUACCGUAUAACAAUCAAAACCGCAUGGUUUUGAUUUGAAAGGCGCUUUCGGGUGUCGCUGAUGGAUGGACCCGCGGUGCAUUAGCUAGUUGGUGAGGUAACGGCUCACCAAGGCCACGAUGCAUAGCCGACCUGAGAGGGUGAUCGGCCACAUUGGGACUGAGACACGGCCCAAACUCCUACGGGAGGCAGCAGUAGGGAAUCUUCGGCAAUGGACGAAAGUCUGACCGAGCAACGCCGCGUGAGUGAAGAAGGUUUUCGGAUCGUAAAACUCUGUUGUUAGAGAAGAACAAGGAUGAGAGUAACUGU